GCUUCUUUACAUCUUGCAAGCUGCACACGGAAAUUAAUGCACUGCAUAUAAAUCUUCGUGUGCAGCUUGCAAGACUGUGAAGAAACAGUCGUAACAGUAUAUUGAUCAUAUAUUUUGAUUAAACCAAACUAUAUACAUGCAAGCUAAUGAGAUUGUUCAUCUAUUGGUAUAACUCAACUAUUUGAGGGUAAUGCACUUUAUAUGGUCACCGCAAUCCCACUAACCUCUCUCUAAUAGGAACUAGUCGCCAUCUUGUGGAAGUCGAUGCAGAUGGAGUCACAAUCUUAGUAUGCACAAUUUUCAUGGCUUCUAUAGUUCUUAGCCACCUUAGCACAAAUUUGAGAGUUAUUGAGCUCAUGGUUGGUCUCAACAAGCUUGACUACUUUUCAUUACCUUACAAUCUUGCGAUAAGGUGCUUCUAAUUAGUUGGGCAAUGACAAAUUUCAUUGUUGUUGGUCAUUCUUCAUGUAGAAAUAAAACUCAACUACCAAAUGGAAAGUGGAUAAUAAUGGAGAAGCUUUUAUAGGUGAGGAACUCGUUCCUAAUGGCUAGGACCUUCCCAAUGACUCAAGAGGACUUGAUCAUAUCCAAAGACUACCACUAAUAUAUAGCUUUUACUA